AUGAUUUGAAUGUUCAUUGUAUGAAAAUUGAUAAAACAUUGAUAUAUUUGAUAAAAUGGGAAGAAAUCUCGGUUAAAUGAAAGGAAAUUUCGAUGGAUCUCUGAAAAGGAAUUGGCGGUAAAAAGGAUCUAGCCCGGACGGGUGAUCCUAUCCUGAUAUAGCCCUCCCGAAGAAUAUUUGGAAAAUGGAUUUAGCCCGGACGGGUAAUCCGAAUUAGGGUCUGAAUUUAGCCUGGACUGGUAAUUCAGAUCCAAGCUCAUUAGAGUAAUUGUCGUUGCAGGGGAUUUAGCCUGGACUGGUAAUCCCGACAAUACUCUAUGAGUUUAUAUUACAGGGGAUUUAGCCUAGACUGGUAAUCCCACUGUAAGGAUGAGGUUCGCGGGAGUGUGCUCUCUGAUAUGAAAUGUGUAAGACCAUGGUUGAAAGAUACCAUGGCAACCUGAUAUGAAAUGUGUAAGACCAUGGUUGAAAGAUACCAUGGCAGCGUGACAUGAAAUGAAUAAGACCAUGGUUGAAAGAUACCAUGGCAACAUGACAGAAAAUGAGUAAGACCAUAGUUGAAAGACACUAUGACAUCAUGUCAAAGAUAAAUAAGACCGUGGAAGAGAGACGCCAAGAUAUCUAUUAAACAACUAAUAUUCAGGUAAUAUGUAUCAGAUGACAAAUAGUUAUAUGAAUUGGUUGUACAAAAUGGUUGUGUGAAAUGUUUACAGGAAUUGGUCAUAUG
rnacentral:lncRNA from 1 species